rnacentral:lncRNA from 1 species
AAACCUAUGGACCUUGUGAUGAAAGUAACCCUAGAGGAUAGGGAAUCCUCGAGUGGAGAGGAUUGGAUCUUGCUCACGGUCUGUUUAUACCUUGUGAUGGUCGCUCCACACAAGUAGUGCGCUCCGGAGUUGGUCACGUGGGAUAGCCUAUUUGGGGUCCCGAGGGAUAGCAUAUGUGGGGUCCUGCAGACGGUCUCGGAUUCGUAGUUGAGUUGAGUCUCCCUACGCGUCGAGAUGGCUAUGUGAGUAGUAGGCGAACCCUCGGGUGAGCCAUGAGAUUAAUGAACAAGUAAAUAGCUUUACUUCUUGGACAUGAUGACGAGUUAGUUGCUUACCUAUUUCUAUGAACAUGCAUUCAUAUAUUUAUGAUUCGGGCAUAGUAGCGUAGUUUUCUAUUCUGUCCUUACAGCUUUCCAUAUCUAUCUAUAUGUUUAUCUACUUGUGUCCACUUGGACCUAGUAGGGAGACCGGCGGAGUCGGCGGCUGAACUCACUGGGAACUAUGGACAAUAGUUCUCACCCCACUUUGUUGCAGGGCCGAGCGCGAGUUCACCCGGCGAGGAUCGCGGUAAGGGCCUAGCGCCCUAGUUGCAUUUGCUUACCUUCCUUUUGCAUUAGAGCCACCCGUUGUACUUGAGAGUAGAUGAUGUAUAGGGUGUGAGGUUUCAUUUUGGAAAUGUAAGCUUUAUGUUUAUAUUUUGGAAGUUUAAAUGUAAUGUAAAUGAGAUGUAAAUUUGUGAAUUGAAUGGAUGUAACACACACACACACGCACACACACACACACGCAUACAUGGAAUGGGAAAGAGAAAACCUCCCUUUUCUCUCUCUAAUUCUCUCCCAAAAUUGAUGAAAUUGGUGGAGAAGCAAGCUUGGAAAUGGAUCUUCAUCUCCUUCAUCUUCUUCCUCUCCAUUGGAGCUUGCUUGAGAGGUAAGCUUCAAACCCCUUUAAUGGUAGAAUUGUAGAGCUUCAAUUAUAUGCUUUAGAAAUGGGUUUAAUGGAAUCCUAGCAUGCUAAAUAGAGGAUAGAUGCUAGAAUCUAGGAUCAAUUUAAUGAAUCCUUGCAUAGGAUGAAACCUAGGGUUCAAACUGCAAAUUUUGCUACUAGUAGGGUUUGAUCUCAUUUGACCCUCCGUAAACCUAAUUGAUAGGUAAACGAACGCGUUGGCGAAGACGGUUCGGCGAUUCGUCGAGCCGUUGCGAAGUUAUUAAAAAACGGACGUUUAGGCUUCGUUUCCGCCUGGAGGGCCGAGGCGAUGUCGUAAAAUCAUGGAAUCGGUUUUGAGGCACCGUAACAGCAAAACGAAGACCCUUUUUGCCCGAGGCUGCGAAGCGAUGCGCGGUUGGUGCGCAAUUGCAAGUUCCGACGGAACCGGACGCCGGAUGCCGCGGGAGGCCGAUUGCAAGUGUCGACAAGCAAUCGGAACGCGAGUUAAGGUGGGUUGUGCUUACCGAAGCGACUAGGUCGCCCUUAUGUCUAAGAGAACAUGAUUUCAUAUUGAUGCAUAUAAAUGCUAGAUAGAUGCAUGUAGUCAAUAUAAAUACAUGCUUGUUAAUGACAUAUUGUGAAUGCUAGGCGAAUGCAUAAGAUGACAAACUAGUAUGUUGAAUGUUAGAUGAAAGCAUGAACUAAAUGUUAGAAAGAUCCAUGAAAUGAUGCUGUAUGAAUGCAUAGGAUAUAUUAUGCAAAUUGGAACAUAUGCAUGUUAAUGUAUUUGUGGACUAUGUUGAUUAACAUAUGCAUGUUGACUUGGGUAUACAUAAUGAUAUAAUACAUGAUGAUAUGAUGCAUGAAUGCUAUGCUAGAGAAAGGUAUGAAGGUCAUACUAAAUAAAUGCACGAGAUAGUUCCUAUAUGAUUGCGUUAACUAUGCAGGUUGAUAUAUUGCAGGUUAUGUUAAAUAGCAAAUACAUGUUGAACUUGAGGUUAUGUUGAUAACAAGGACGAGUGGCAUCUAGUUAAUGUAAACAACAUGACGAGUGGCAUUAAAUAAUAUGAAUGAUAACCUAGAUGAGUGGUAUAUGGAUAUAGUGUCAUGGGCAUAUGAACCUAGCAUAGUGUGGUAUUUGUACUUGAACCAAGAGAGAUGGUCGAGUUGUCGAGAUAUGUUGGCCCUAGUGGAUAGGGUACCCUCAGUGGAGAGGGUUGGAUCAUACUCACACCAGUCUUUGAGCUCGUUGGUGGUCGCUCCCCCGAGCAGUGCACUCCGGAGUUUUGAGCACAUCAGGACAGACGUAGUUGUCCAUCAGACGGUCUCAGUGGAUGAUAUAUGCCCACGAGAUUAGAGGUGAGUCGGGUGAGUGAGUUGUCCUCACCUGGGGGCGAAUCUCGGGAUGAGCCUGUGAGUCGGGUGGGUGAGUUGUCCUCGCCCGGCGGCGAACCCCUGGAUUAGCCCUAGGUUUGGGUAAAAGCAAGAAUGAUAUUAGUGUGGACAUGAUAAGUAUAUGAAUUCCCCGAUGAGUGGAUCUUGGGCUGAGGUGUAAGUGAGACGUCCUUCACCUCGAGCUUGGCUUGUGCGGUACUCCGCAGAUGAUUGACUCAAGACCGAGUCGAGUGGUUAGUUUGUAAAGGUUAGAUGAAACCUUAUGAAUAGGAUUGACAUGAAUCUAAGAUAAAGAACUUAGAAGUCAAAUGGGAUAAGCUAUGGAUAUUAUAAUAAAUGUAGAGUCAAUUGAUCUACUAGAUAGUUGGAUGAUUGCAUGAUUUUCAUAAUGCAUAUUGCGAGGCACGACAUGUAUUUCGAUAUCGAUUAAAUAUAUAUCUGUUGUAUAUUGUUGGACUAACAUGUUGCAGGUGCCUCCUUAGACCUAUCGGUCGAGCUUUUCCCUUGGGUGGCCGUACCCACUGGGAACCAUGGAGUUGGUUCUCACCCCACGUUGUUUUGGGGUGUUUCAGGUUCGCACGUGAGCGGCGCGGCGGCGCGAGGCAAGGACGUAGCUCCGUAGAUAGCGCCCUACCACCGUGACCAGAGAUAGCAGUACCCAAGUCAGCCAAGCUAGGGGUUGUAGAAAAGGAAAGCAAAAUGAAAAGAACAACAUUGUAAUAAUAUGUAAUUCUGGUUGUAUUUGGAAGUCAAAUGUAAAGUUAAAUUGGGAUGUAAAAUACUAAUGGUUUGAAUGCUUGUAAUAGCUUAGGUGGUAUUUAUGUUUUGAUACCUUCCUUAUGCAAUCAGUGUAUGAAUACUGUUCCUGUUUGGAACCUUGUGUAUUGUACUGUUUGUUGAGCCUUGGGCGGACAGGGGAGACUCUGUCCGUUCGGCGACUGUCGGCGUGCCCGAACUCGACCAAAUAGGCGGGUC